rnacentral:rRNA from 1 species
AUUGAACGCUGGCGGCAGGCCUAACACAUGCAAGUCGAGCGGAUGAAGGGAGCUUGCUCCUGGAUUCGGCGGCGGACGGGUGAGUAAUGCCUAGGAAUCUGCCUGGUAGUGGGGGAUAACGUCCGGAAACGGGCGCUAAUACCGCAUACGUCCUGAGGGUGAAAGUGGGGGAUCUUCGGACCUCACGCUAUCAGAUGAGCCUAGGUCGGAUUAGCUAGUUGGUGGGGUAAAGGCCUACCAAGGCGACGAUCCGUAACUGGUCUGAGAGGAUGAUCAGUCACACUGGAACUGAGACACGGUCCAGACUCCUACGGGAGGCAGCAGUGGGGAAUAUUGGACAAUGGGCGAAAGCCUGAUCCAGCCAUGCCGCGUGUGUGAAGAAGGUCUUCGGAUUGUAAAGCACUUUAAGUUGGGAGGAAGGGCAGUAAGUUAAUACCUUGCUGUUUUGACGUUACCAACAGAAUAAGCACCGGCUAACUUCGUG